GGGUCGUUAGCUCAGUUGGUAGAGCAGUCGCCUCUUAAGCGAACGGUCGCAGGUUCAAAUCCCGCACGACCCA
rnacentral:tRNA from 1 species